rnacentral:rRNA from 1 species
UGUAGUCUGCAACUCGACUACAUGAAGCUGGAAUCGCUAGUAAUCGCAAAUCAGAAUGUUGCGGUGAAUACGUUCCCGGGUCUUGUACACACCGCCCGUCACACCAUGGGAGUUGGGAAUGCCCGAAGCCGGUGACCUAACCGAAAGGGAGGAGCCGUCGAAGGCAGGCUUGAUAACUGGGGUGAAGUCGUAACAAGGUAAC